AACACAUUAGCUCAGCUAGGUAGAGCACUUACCGAAAUGGUAAGAGGUCACAGGUUCAAUUCCUGUAUGUGUUA
rnacentral:tRNA from 1 species